rnacentral:lncRNA from 1 species
CCUCACAAGUCGCACCAUAACGCUUGAUCAUCGCCAACCAACCGAUAAUCCAUCAGGAAAAAAUGGCUCGAGGUCUUGCCGUUGUGGUGCUCCUUCUAGUCGUCCUCGUGGUAGCGACACCAUUCGCCUACGCUGGCCCAGCGGCUGCUCUUGCCGCUGGAUCGGCAACUGGUGCUCAAGCUACCGGUGAUGGCUUUGCAACCGGCACCCCGCUCUACCAGGAAACUAGAAACCCCAAGAAGGAUGUCGCCAACGCUGGUGGCGCUUCGGCGGUCAGUGGUGGCCUCACCCCAGGUCUCCCGCUCUGGCAAGAAACAUGGAACCCCGAGAAGGAUGUCGCGAGCUGUGCCAAGCACUUGGUGCCCGGUGGCAACCUCACGCCCGGCCUCCCGCUUUACCAGGAAAUUGGAAACCCCAAGAAGGAUGCCGCCAACGCUGGUGGUGCUUCCGCGGUCAGUGGAGGCCUCACCCCCGGUCUCCCGCUCUGGCAAGAAACGGGGAACCCCGAGAAGGAUGACGCGAACCGUGCCAAGCACUUGGUGCCCGGUGGCAACCUCACGCCCGGCCUCCCGCUUUACCAGGAAACUAGAAACCCCAAGAAGGAUGCCGCCAAUGUUGGUGGCGCUUCCGCGGUCAGUGGAGGCCUCACCCCCAGUCUCCCCCUCUGGCAAGAAACAGGGAACCCCGAGAAGGAUGUCGCGAACCGUGCCAAGCACUUGGUACCCGGUGGCAACCUCAUGCCCGGCCUCCCGCUUUACCAGGAAACUGGACCGGGAGACAAGAAGGCUUAAUUUGGGCUACUCCACCUUGAUAUGUGCUUGUUGCAUUGCUAGGUGCUCAAUAACGGUCAAACAACAAUACAUAUAAGUUUACAUGGAUGAUAUAUCGAAAUUAAGAGUUUGCUCUGUACACAUAUAAUGGGGUCAUUGAAGAGAUACAAAGAGACGAAAUAUGUGUUUAUGUGUAUAUAUAUUUGUGGGUUAUAUCGUGUUUAAGUCGACCAAGUUAACUUUUACAAAAGGUUAUGGGCAACACAAUUAUAAAGAAUGUGAAUUGGUUCAUCUCGUGGCAC